UACGUAGGGUGCAAGCGUUGUCCGGAAUUAUUGGGCGUAAAGAGCUCGUAGGCGGUCUGUCGCGUCUGCUGUGAAAACUCGGGGCUUAACCCCGGGCCUGCAGUGGGUACGGGCAGACUAGAGUGCGGUAGGGGAGACUGGAAUUCCUGGUGUAGCGGUGAAAUGCGCAGAUAUCAGGAGGAACACCGGUGGCGAAGGUGGGUCUCUGGGCCGAUACUGACGCUGAGGAGCGAAAGCGUGGGGAGCGAACAGG
rnacentral:rRNA from 1 species